rnacentral:lncRNA from 1 species
GGGGUCUUGUCUUAUGUGCACAUGAGUCAGGGCAGUGUGCAGGAAAGCACCAUGCAUGCUCCAUAAAGUCUAGCCCCUUCACCACAAAGGAAGCAAUCAAGAGCAUGAAGAGAGAGCCUACAGAAUGGGAGAAAAAUCUUUGCCACCUGCACCUCAGAUAAGGCAUUAAUUCUCAGGAUAUACAAAGAACUCAAAAAAGCUCUAACAUGAAAACAAACAAACAAAACCAUCACCAAAUAAUAAAUGGGUAAAGGAACUAAACGUCUCAAAAGAAGAACUAUGAUUGGUCAACAAAUAGACAAAAUAUGUUCAACAUCUCUAGUAAUUAGAGAAAUGUAAAUUAAAACUACACUGAGCCAGGAGGUGUAGUGCAUGCCUGUAAUCCCAGAAGCUCAGGAGGCUGAGGCAGGAAGAUCAUGAUUUCAAGUUUAGCUUAGCAACUUAGGGAGACCCUACCCAACUAAGGGAGACCCCAUCUCUAAAUAAAAUAUUAAAAAGGGCUGGAGAUGUGGCUUAGUAGUUAAGCACCCCUGGGUUCAAUCCCGAGUACAAAACGAAACAAAACAAAACAAAAAACUACACUAAGAUUUCACUUAACUAUAACCAGAACGACAAUUAUCAAUAUAAGUAACAAUAAAUAUUAGCAAGGAUAUAGGGAUAAGGGUAUACUCAUACUUCGUUGGUGGGACUGCAAAUUAGUGUAACCACUCUGGAAAACAGUAUGGAGAUUCCUUCAAAAACUAGUAAUGGAACCACCAUUUGAUCCAAUUAUCUCACUCCUCCCUAUAUAUACAAAGGAGUUAAAAUAAGCACACUAUAGUGAUGUAGCCACAUCAAUGUUUAUAGCAUCUCCAUGCACAAUGGCUAAGCUAUGGAACCAACCCAUCAACAGAUGAAUGGAUAAUGAAAUUGUGGUAUACACAAUGGAAUAUUACUCAACUAUAAAGAAGAAUGACUUUAUGACAUUCACCAGUAAAUGGAUGGAUCUGGAGACUAUCACGCUAAGUGAAAUAAGCCAAUCCCAAAAAAACAAAGGUCAAAUAUUUUCUCUGAUAUGUGCAUGUUAACCCACAAUAAAGGGGAAAGAGGGGAAGAAGGAAGUUCAGUGGAUUAGUCAAAGGAGAGUGAAGAGAUGGGAGGGGAGAUAGGAAUAAGAAAGUGGAAUGAAUCUGACCUAACUUUCCUAUGUACAUAUAUGAAUAUACCACAAUGAAUCUCACCAUCAUGUACAUUCACAAUACAGGGAAUAAGGUAUAUUUCAUGCUUAUAGAAAUAUAUCAAAAUGGAUUCUACUGUCAAGAAUAACUAAAACAACCAAACAAACAAACAAAAAAAAAAUACAAGGGAAAAAAAAUCCAGUCCCUGUUAGAUUUUGGUAGCUUGUCAUUUAAUCCUUGUAACAUCCCAGAGAAAAAGAUGUAUUAGCCUUAUUGUUUAAAUGAAGAACUGAGGCAGAGAAACCUCACAAGUGCACAUGGCCCUCCAAUACUGCUUAGGUCCAACAGAUUCCACACCCACCUUCUUGGUCAUGCCUUCCCUCCAGGUGGAACCCAAAUGCAUUUUCUGCUCCAAUUCCCACACAUAGACCUUACACUGGUUGUCCAGAUGGGCUUUACACAGACAGCUCCCUGCUACUAGCACCCCUCUUCUUUUUAAAGGUCCCCCACUUGAUUUCUCCAAAACUCAGAAAAAAAACUACUUUGUAUGUCUUCCAAAGAGCGAUUGGCCUGACCAUCAGGAGGUCUGUGGGCUUCCUUUCUCCCUGAGGAAAUACCUGCAGCACCUUCUACCAAACUCCCUGCACCUGACACGUUGUUAUUCAAUUAAAGGGUGGUUCUCUUGGGGAAUCCCCCAACAAGGGAAGCCACAAGGACAUGCCACACCCAUAGAAAUAAAGUUGAGGUAGAUCAGGACUGAGUGGGGAUGUGAAGGUCACAUCCUAGAGGGUUGCUCUUGAAUCCAGCCCAGAUCCACUUUGCACAUCUCUAGCUGCCCCUGAACCCAGAAUAAUGCUACAUGGUGGACCCAGACAUGAAGGGUUUAAAUGUCCUGAAAGGAAGGCUCUGGGUUGGAUCAAUCCCUAGUACCAUAAAAAAACAAACAAAUAAAAUAAAAGUCCGGGAAGUGUUUUCAUUUUAUAACGGCUUAUUGUUUGUCUUCUGAAUAUUUUUCACAGAAGACUUGAAUGGAAGAAAACAGGAAAGUGAAAAAUAAUGGUGAUUCUACCACCUGGAGAUACUGUGGGGCAAACACAUCAUUCGAUGUUUUCUGCAAAGUCUUAU